GUGGGCAUAGCUCAAUUGGUUAGAGCGCCAGAUUGUGGCUCUGGAGGUUGUGGGUUCAAUUCCCAUUGCUCACCCCA
rnacentral:tRNA from 1 species